AGACCACAUUAUAAAGGGCUGUUUUGGAGGGACUGAAUCAAACUUUGAAAAAAGUCGGUAGGAUUGGGUAGGUUGUGAGAGAGAGGUGUAAGCUAAGGAAAGGAGCAGCCGGGAGGUGUACAGUGUGCUUUAGAAACCUUGACUUUUAGCUGGAACGGAUGUGCACAGUGAUGGGGGAUAAGCGGGGAGGUGGAUGUGGUCCUGAAGUGGAGAGCUCUGACAGCCCCACUUCUUUUUUUUUUUUUUUAACAUUUGUAAAAACAAUUUUAAUGAAGUUAUCUUACAAAAAGGAGAUACCACCCUGACCAGACAUCAAAUGCUAACACAUGGGUAUACCCCAGCUUCAUACAUGUGUUACUUACUUUUGAGCUGUUGACCAGUAGGGUUCCAUAAACUUCCAGGUAUUACAGGCUGUUUCCAAUACUCUUGGUUGAUCUCUAUAACUUAAUGGUAAGCCUCUAUUGCUAAUAUUACCACAUAUUUGAGUCAUAUAGCAUGUCUCAUCAGUACUUGCUAGACAGCCCCACUUCUUUAGCUAGUUGUAAAUACCUCUGUAAGGUGUUUCUCCUGACUUUAACAGUGAUCUUCUUUGUUCCUUUUGUACACAGAAUUAUGGUUUUGUUUUUCACUGACUGUGUUUUGUUAAAAUAUUUUAGACAUAUUAAAAGAUAAUUAUGUACAAAAGACAAUACCUGGUUUGAAUAAGAAACUCAUAUGAAUAUUCAAUAUAGUUCUUUAAGCACUGAUCUUAUAUAUAUUUAUUAAUUAACAUGUGCUGGCAUUUAAACACUGGUACCAGGUGUGCUGCUUGAGAGGUGUGGCUUCGCUAGAGGAAGUGUGUCCCUGCGGGCAGGCUUUGAGGUUUCAAAGACUUAAUGCCAUUCUGUUUGCUUUUUCUGCUUCACCUUUGCUCUUCAAGAUAUGAGCUCUCCUUUCCUUUGGCUUCCAUGCAUUUGCUGCACCAUCACAGACAAUGAGUUUCUGGUACCAUGAGUGUGUAAACUGUCUCCUACACCGUAGUUGUGAUGUUUUAUCACAGCAAUAAAAACAAACUAGUACAGCGAUGCUAUCUUCAUUGUUACUUCUUCCCAUUUCACAGAUGAGGAUGAUGAGGCAUCGUGGUGCUUGCCCAGAGUUAUCCCACACUAGGGUCUGGACUUCGGCUGUAAAGAGAGUCAGGCCCAUGAGACUUGGGUUCCACACGGUAUUGUUGCUUGAACAAUGUUCAUAUAGCAAAUACUCAUUGCUGAUACUACAUGGACGAGGACCCAAAACCCUUCUCACAGGAAACCAGUCAGAACAUUCUAAAGUGGAGUAGGAACGGCAGAGCUGUGGCUGAUAGUGCCUCUCUUUUCUGUUUCCUAAGUUUUUAUCAGUACCUGUCCAGACAUUUGUGGAUGUUGCCUCCUGUACUAAAACCCAGGCUCUCCUUCUCCUCUAGGGCAGGGACCCUGUCUUCAGUGCUCCCCUGAGGAGGAACUGGCUAUGAGACACCCUCUCCGACUCCCAACUGUUGAACUGUGUACCAGAGAUCUCCGGCUGGCCCAGUGGGAGGGUUCAAGCGUAGGGGAGAGGGCAGGAGCAGGGAGAGGGAAGUUCCUCUGGUGUUGCUGCUGCUGCUGCUCUGAGAUGCUGCACUGGCUUGCUGAGCCAAGCCAAGCCCACUGACUACACAUGGGCUGACCAGGGCUCCAGCUGCAUGUGUAGCAGAGGAUGGUCUUGUUGGGCACUGAUGGGAGGAGAAGCCCUUGGUCCUGCCAAGGCUGGAUCCCCAGCGUUGGGGGGAGGCAGGAAGGGAGUGGAUGGGGAGGUGAACACCCUUAUAGAAGGAGGGGAGGGGGCUUACGUCUGGGAAACUGGGAAAAGGAAUAACAUUUAAAAUGUAAAUAAAAAAUAUCUAAUAAAAAGGAAAAAAUGUAUAUGUU
rnacentral:lncRNA from 1 species